rnacentral:rRNA from 1 species
AUUGAACGCUGGCGGCAGGCCUAACACAUGCAAGUCGAGCGGAUGAAGGGAGCUUGCUCCUGGAUUCAGCGGCGGACGGGUGAGUAAUGCCUAGGAAUCUGCCUGGUAGUGGGGGAUAACGUCCGGAAACGGGCGCUAAUACCGCAUACGUCCUGAGGGAGAAAGUGGGGGAUCUUCGGACCUCACGCUAUCAGAUGAGCCUAGGUCGGAUUAGCUAGUUGGUGGGGUAAAGGCCUACCAAGGCGACGAUCCGUAACUGGUCUGAGAGGAUGAUCAGUCACACUGGAACUGAGACACGGUCCAGACUCCUACGGGAGGCAGCAGUGGGGAAUAUUGGACAAUGGGCGAAAGCCUGAUCCAGCCAUGCCGAGUGUGUGAAGAAGGUCUUCGGAUUGUAAAGCACUUUAAGUUGGGAGGAAGGGCAGUAAGUUAAUACCUUGCUGUUUUGACGGUACCAACAGAAUAAGCACCGGCUAGCUUCGUG